ensembl:piRNA 21ur-34 ncRNA
UGAAGGAUGCGAUACUCUCUC